CACAUCUGAAGUCUUCAUAUACAAUGCACUGUGUGCAUGCAAUGCCUAGGAGGCGAGUUCUGCACACGCUAUUGCAUAACCUCCCUCAUUUCCUAGAGCUUGCAGGGCAUGCCUGGCAGCCUCCUUUCUCCUGUCACUGCAGUUUCUGCCUCUCUGCCUCCCCUGCAUGCCCUUAGAGAUGCCAUGGGGAACAAUCUGCACAGAGCUGAGGGAUCAAAUCUAGGAAGUGUUGCAGCCUUGCCUGUUGCUUCCAUGCAAUAAAACGUACAGUGUUGCUGGCUGCUUUGUAGUAGGAUGUCUUUCAGUACGUUCUCCUCACGGUGUGGCUGUCAUCUGAUUUUAUUAGCAAAGCAGAGAAACUAGUGCAGAAUUAACACAGGAGAAAGAUGAGAUUACUGAGCAAACAUGCCUUGGUGAUAAGAGUGCAGGUCUGGAAAACUGGGAGCUGGGCUCUGCUGUGCUGUAUGGGUGGGAAUGGAUUAUUCCUCUCCAUGUCUGCUUUCUAGUUUAUAUUGCCAAGAAUUUUAACAGCCCCUCUGUGAAGGAUGUGCUGAUAUUUCUACGCUAGGAGAAGGCACUGAGAUCUCGAGAUAAGUAAGGCAGAGAGAGCACUAAUGACAGACAGAACGAGACUGCUCGUAUUUCUCUGUGCAUAAAGCUGGUGAAACAAGCUCCUUUGUCAGCAUCCUAAGAGUGAUUAGCCAAGGAGGUUGGUACUUGCAGAGUGUGUGCAAGGCCCUGGGAGCUGUUGUUCACCUGGUGCUUUGAUCGUCAGCAUUUCCAGAGCUACAGGCUCUGUUCCAGGACAGUUUUUCCAUGAGACGUGACUGAGUACUGAGGUCAGCUACGUGUAGCAGCCUGUGUCCAGACCAUCUGCAGGAAUUCAGGAGGAACUCAGUAGAAUGUCAUUGGUUAAAGCCCAUCAAACAGGUCUUUUCACUAUUUUUUUGGACAAAAGUGGUUUUCUGAAAAAUCCCUGGGCACAUUUAUCUUGCCCCAUGCUGUACUCAGCAGCUACAUGCCUUCUCCCUCCCCACUGACUCCCUUUGCUUUUGGGUUCUGUGCCUUUCCCCCUUAAAAACUGGUUGCGCGGGAAUUGUCAAGUCUCUGGAAUCUGACCUGUCCCCCCACCCCCAGUCAAUAAUCACAUUAGUACAUCUGUGUGACAGAAAUAAUAGCUUUUGUCUACCAAAGCUGCAGAGUCCUGUUGCCAGGCAACUCAGUCCUGAGGCAACAAAACAGAGAGGAACGGGUGUGUGGGAGGACCAAGCCCGAGUGCAAGAGCUGCUGCUUGUGCUGCUGCUAAAAGAGAGGAAGGCUGCAGCAUGAAAAACCUUGGAGGGCGAUGUUCUUUUGGAUGAAAAGGAACCCUUAGGGACAUCAAGGAAGACCCGAAAAUUCAAAUUCAGAGGAAAAAUGAAGCAAGAAAUGGAUCUCAAGGCCUAAUCCACUAUAUUCUAUCACCACAAAUGUUCUAGUCCACUCAGGUCCAGUGACUUGAAUGACCUGAAACUAAGCAAUCAUGCCUUAGUAGGUUGCUUACUGCACCACAACAGUCAGGCACAAAGGAGUCUCUGUGCUUACACAGAUAUUCAUCAAACAAGGGCUACAGGAAAAGAGUUGAGUUUCCUUGAAUAAAUUAUUCAGUGGUUGUUAUUCA
ensembl:lncRNA